UACGUAGGGGGCUAGCGUUUGUCCGGAUUUAUUGGGCGUAAAGAGCGUGUAGGCGGCCAGGUAGGUCUGGUGUGAAAACUCGAGGCUUAACCUCGAGAUGUCAUCGGAAACCAUCUGGCUAGAGUCCGGAAGAGGAGAGUGGAAUUCCUGGUGUAGCGGUGAAAUGCGCAGAUAUCAGAAAGAACACCAAUGGCGAAAGCAGCUCUCUGGGACGGUACUGACGCUGAGACGCGAAAGCGUGGGGAGCGAACAGG
rnacentral:rRNA from 1 species